AGGACGAACGCUGGCGGCGUGCUUAACACAUGCAAGUCGAGCGGUAAGGCCUUUCGGGGUACACGAGCGGCGAACGGGUGAGUAACACGUGGGUGAUCUGCCCUGCACUCUGGGAUAAGCCUGGGAAACUGGGUCUAAUACCGGAUAUGACCUGCUCUCGCAUGGGGGUGGGUGGAAAGAUUUAUCGGUGCAGGAUGGGCCCGCGGCCUAUCAGCUUGUUGGUGGGUAAUGGCCUACCAAGGCUUCGACGGGUAGCCGGCCUGAGAGGGUGACCGGCCACACUGGGACUGAGACACGGCCCAGACUCCUACGGGAGGCAGCAGUGGGAAUAUUGGACAAUGGGCGAAAGCUGAUCAGCAACGCGCGUGAGGGAUGACGCCUUCGGUUGUAACCUACUUCAGCGCCGACGAAGCGAGAGUGUCGGAGCGCGAGAAGAAGCACCGCCAACUACGUGCCAGCAGCCCG
rnacentral:rRNA from 1 species